rnacentral:misc_RNA from 1 species
UUUGGUUUGUUACGUGUGGUUGGCUGCGGCGUUUGCAACAACUUCCAUGCUCUCAGACCUCUUCAGUUGUGCGGCAAGGCUUGUAUCGCCUUGAGCGUAUCGUGGGUUUUCUGUGUUGGCUACCUAAUCGACGGUAUCGUUUGGACUGAUCAAAGUGUGAUUUCGUCUUCCGUCGCGUUCGCGGCGUGAGGUGAACCUUGACGCGGUCUCUUUGAUCCAUCUCGUCGAAGCANAUGCUUUGACGUUGUGGCACAUUGNGCAUUGCUUGGUCUCUUGUGUACGGAACACGUAGCGGGCAUGGAUCUAACGAUUCUUGUUUGCCCUCAUAUUAGCGUAACGCUUCUCAAACACGACUUGCAUCGCGUUUUAG